CGGGGACCUGAAUCUGUGCAACAUAAAUUCUGAGAUUAUUUGGUUUCAAGUUUAGGCUAUUUCCGACUAUAGUGUAAAUUUUAUUUUAUUUUCAAUACCGUUUUAUGUCUAUGCCAUAUCCCGAAUAUUCAGAAAAAGGGGACGUUUUAAGAUGUCAGAUAUUUUAAUUUAUUUCUGGAUAACAUAGGCCUUAAGCACAAAUGUGUGGACAUGAUGUAAUGAAAAACAUUAAAUGGAAAUAAUGGAUGGAAUGUUGUGGAGAAAGACUAGGCCCUGUCAUAAUUAUCUGCAGCGUUUGUGAAGUCAUGCGUAUAGAAUUACUAGAACCUCAUUUUAGAUGCUGGAAUGUCGACCAAUUUGUGGGAAAUAAAAUUGCUCCACAACACGUUUUAUCAGUGUAUUUCAUCCAUCUAGCCAGUUAAAAUGUCAAAACGUUGAUUGAAAUGGAUUGGAUUGAAGGAGUUGAAUCCCAAUCAUCUGAGUGGUCAAGGAUGCGUUGUGCAUUAACGACAGGCUUCACUGGUAGCAACAGAGUCAGACAUGCAACUUUCAAUAUGGUUGUCUCGUCGCCGCAGACUGUCUUUGAAGGAUGGAAAUGCUUCACAGCUUUAUUUGUGGCUGCUCUCUCCUACCUGUGUUAUAUCUAUUGGGACAGAAUAGAACUUGCUUCACAGGCUGCCUGGACUUGGGUGACCAAAUGUCCAGCUAGCUGGAAGAACUCAGGGGAGAAGGUGGUGCAGCGAAGGUCCAGAAAAAGGCAGCAAAGCCCCCCGCUGAUCAAAGUCAAGCGGCUUGAAUUGAAAGUGACUGCUAUGAAGAGAACCUUGAUGAACCAUGGUUCACAUCAAACCUCCCCAUCUUGUUCCUCCCCACACUGCUCUCAAAACAUUCUCCAGACCAAGGGCUCUGUACACACCAACAGCUCUUCAGACUGGGAGAGUGCUGCAUAGGUCAUAAAGACAACAUGGACUCCCCUCCAAAGGAGACAUUUAAAUGGUUAUUUCAUUGACCCUGCAAUUUAGACUGUGCAGGACACCUAUGUGUAUACAGCAUUUCAUUGGCA
rnacentral:lncRNA from 1 species